AAUCCGUUCAGUCGUUUCCGCGUAUUAAUUUAAUUAAACUUUUUUAACAGGUGGCAACUCUUCCAAAAAAUUAGCUUAUUUUACACUGUAGAUCAUAAGCUAGGUAUCUGCUUUCAAAAUUUUCUGCAAAUCUAUUCAGUCGUUUCCGCGUAUUAAUUUAAUUAAACUUUUUUAACAGGUGGCAACUCUUCCAAAAAAUUAGCUUAUUUUACACUGUAGAUCAUAAGCUA